rnacentral:rRNA from 1 species
GACGAACGCUGGCGGCGUGCUUAACACAUGCAAGUCGAACGGAAAGGCCCUGCUUUUGUGGGGUGCUCGAGUGGCGAACGGGUGAGUAACACGUGAGUAACCUGCCCUUGACUUUGGGAUAACUUCAGGAAACUGGGGCUAAUACCGGAUAGGAGCUCCUGCUGCAUGGUGGGGGUUGGAAAGUUUCGGCGGUUGGGGAUGGACUCGCGGCUUAUCAGCUUGUUGGUGGGGUAGUGGCUUACCAAGGCUUUGACGGGUAGCCGGCCUGAGAGGGUGACCGGCCACAUUGGGACUGAGAUACGGCCCAGACUCCUACGGGAGGCAGCAGUGGGGAAUAUUGCACAAUGGGCGGAAGCCUGAUGCAGCAACGCCGCGUGCGGGAUGAAGGCCUUCGGGUUGUAAACCGCUUUCGCCUGUGACGAAGCGUGAGUGACGGUAAUGGGUAAUGAAGCACCGGCUAACUACGUG